ensembl:lncRNA
AGGCAGAGGGCCCGGCUUUAGCUGCUUGCUUUCUGAAAUCCCCAACAACGUAUGAAAUGUAGGUGGCAUACAUUAUCCUUUUUGCUAAAAUGAAAAUAAGAACUUCCGUGAUUGGUGGCUGAAGCUAAUGGGAAUUGAUAAAUUACUUUCCAUCCCAGUGGACAUGAAAUCUCCGAAGUUUUGGAUUUCAAUUGAAUGAGAAAUUACUUCUGCAACCAGUCAGCAGGAUCGAAUAUAACUGUGUUUUUUUAAUCUUAUCAGAGUGUGACAAAAAUCAGAAAAUUCAUAGCUGUGUGACUGCAGUAUGUGAAUGCACAAGUUGCAGAUACACUGUUUAGAGAAUUGUAAUUUAUGAGUGCCACCUCCGCAUUCGCAACGCUUGCUUAAAAUUUAGGGAUUCCUGGGAUGCUGGGAGACAGCUCCUCCACUCCCAUUAUGGCACAGCCUCAGGGGCCUGCAGGGACCAUGCAGCAAGGGUGGCUCUUUCCACCACGCAGGACCUGCUUUCACACACUCCAAGCACUCAGAAGCAACAGCUGGUUAAAAUACUGUUCUGAGGAGGAAGCCACUGGGCCCUCUCUACUUCUUCUGUAUCUUUCUUUGGCAGCUUCAGCAAUAAACAUGUCCAGGUAGUCUUUUAGAGUAAUGUGUUGCUGAUUUACUCAUUCUGCCCUGGGAGAAGGGGUGUGGAUCACCAGGUAUACCACUGUGCUCUCAUGAGCCCCAGCUUUAGCAGACAAAAGCAAGGUAUCAUUAGAAAAGGGAGAAUUUCAGAGCUUCACCAGGAAGAGGUAGAAGAUAAACUACCCUCAGGAGGCACAUGCCUUCCAAACAGCCAGGACUGGCUACAUGCAGGUGCUGUAGUGUGUGCUGUAGUGUGUACAUGCAGGAGUGUGUUGUUACACUCCAUCUCCCCCAGAUAUAAAUAGCAAUGUCAGCCAGGCGUGCCUUCAGCCAGCCAAUAGCUUGCACGCAUUCCUCCCAAGCCACAACAAUCUGUGCUUUUGUCAGCUCCAGCCUGCAUUGUACAACAUGUUGCCCGGAGAAGAUACCAGUGCCAGUGGUCCAAGUCACCCACAGCAAAUCCAGGCCAAUGUGCUCAAACACAGGCCUCAGACAUGCUGUGCAGUUCGCCCUCUCCACCUGCCUCUGUCUUUCUACUGUCCCUCAGCUGCAAGAUGGCAGUGUCUCCAGGCCCGCCUGGCCACGGAGCUCAGCACAGCCCUGUGCCCCACAGGCCCUGAGGAAGCCCAUCAGCAUGGCUUGGCAGGGUUUCUCCUGAAGCAGGGCUCACACUGGGGAUGAUCUAAUUUAGGAAUGUGGCAGAGAGUUCAGAUGCUUAUCCAGAGUUUAAAGAGUAGACAAACCUUUUAUCCUACAAGAUCUGGCUAGGUCCUCCGGUCCUUAUUCAGGCAAAACUAUAGCUGGCUUUAACGGGAACUUUGGCUGGGGAAAAAAAAAAGAAGAAGAAGAAGAAGAAAAAAAAAGAAAAACACCUGCAAGAUUUAACUUUUCCCUGGAAUUUUCAUGAGAUUUCUGGUUGGUUUUGCUCAAACUACAAAAGCAAUUUAAAUGCUCAUUCACCAUUCAGCCUGCAGUCACAGCCUGGAUCCUCAACCACCGUAAUAAGUGUCAGUGAAAAAUAACUGAGGAAAACUGAAGUGAGAGAGAAAAUAGAGAAAGAUCUUGUACACUGGACAAACGUUACAAGAAAUGAUUUCAUUCCAGAAUUUGCAGGGCAGAAGUAAAGCGUGCUGUCUUAUUAUGCAGUAAGAUAUGCAUAUUUUAAAUAUGGAUGUUAUAUAAACAUGACAGUCACAUGCAUCACCACAUUCACAGAAAGUUCUCUCUUGGGCUGUGCCCAAUACACACAUUUGGUCUGAAAUAUGUAUGACCACCAACAGCUGCUGGUGCUGUACAUCUACAUAAGCAAGACAAAGAGAGAGUGCUGCUGCAGUGCACAAGUAGUUAUUUGUGGAGGCUCUGUAUGAAAAAGCUGGUCAUUUCCUCUCCUUCAGUAACAAGCUCGAUAGCCAUCUAAUCGUGUAUGGUAGGAGUGUAACUGCCUACUUCCCACUAUAGCCACAAGAUAGCAUUUUAUUUCUGGUUCAUCUAGCUGUUUGGUCUGUUGUGUCCCUGAGGAUAAUUAGUCCUGAACACAGGGAAAGUACUUAUCUUGCACCAGGGAUAUUCUGUCAAAUACCUCCUCACACAAAAACUCAUUUAAAAGGAUAAAAAAAAACUACCUCAGGAAUUGAAUACAUCUGCGGGCUUCUAGUCACUUCCAGCAGGUGACAUAUCUGAAAUCACAGAGCCUCACUUUGGUGACUAGGUAGGAGCCAAUUAGCUUCAUUUUGAACUGGGAAAACUGCAUCAUGACAGCCUCCAAGGAGCAAGUCCUAUCUGUUGUAAACAAAUCUGAUUUGCUCUGUUUUGCUUCCCCACAAAUACUGCACAUCGGUUACAGAUAAAGUUGCUUUACAGGGUAAGCCCCCACCAUCACUGAAAACAGGCAUUGUUUUUCUUCUCCCCAGGAGAGGAAGAAUAAAUGUGACAGUUCGCAGUCACCACUGGUAGUGGCUGGAAACUAAACUCUCUCACCAGAAGUUCUCCCCAAGGCUUCUUUAAAUAUUCCAUGACUAGCUAUGUCCAAAUGCAUUUCCCAGAGGAUCAAAGUACAUUUUUCUUUCACUUGACAGAAGGCACUGAGUUGUUGCUAUCAGUUUGCUCUUACAAUCCUUUUGCAUCACCCGCUCACAGAAAUAAACAUUCUUUGAGGUUUUUCCUGAUGCAGUAACUGACCAUGCCACCACGGCUUUAUUUUGGCCAGAGACGCCUGUGGCAUUUCUGCAAGAGGACAAGCAUCUCGUUCAGACCCCAUUAAAAGAGAGCUCAGUUCUUACAGCAGUUUGACAAGUCUGAUAAAGAGAAAGAAAACCAAAUUACUAGGACUUGAAAUAUAAAGUAGAUGAACCAAUCUAGAGAUGCUGCAUGAAAGAAGGUGGAUUUUUUUCUGGACAAGGAAUGACUUGAGAGCAGCCCUGAGGAGAAGGAUUUGGGGGUGCUGGUUAAUGAAAGACUGAACAUGAGCUGGCUAUAUGCACUUGCAGCCCAGAAGGCCAACUGUGUGCUGGGUUACAUUAUGAAAAGAAUGAAAGAAAAGCAAGGAAGAUGAUUCUGCCCCUCUACUCUGCUCUUGUGAGACCCACCUGGAGUACUGCAUCCAAUUCUGGGGCCCUCAACACAAGACAGACAUGGAGCUGUUGGAGUGGGUCCAGAGGAGGGCCACAAAGAUGAUCAGAGGGCUGGGACACUUCCCCUACGAAGAGAGGCUGAGAAAGUUGGGACUCUUCAGCCUGCAGAAGAGAAGGUUUGGGAGACCUUACAGCGGCCCUUCCAGUAUCUGAAGGGGGCAUACAGGAAAGCUGGGGAGGGACUUCUUAUAAGGGCAAGUAGAGACAGGAUGGGGGGAAAUGUCUUUAAACUGGAAGAGGGUAGAUUUAGACUAGAUAUUAGGAAGAAGUUAUUUACGGUGAGGGUGGUGAGACACUGAAACAGGUUGACCAGCAAGGCUUUGGUUCCCCCCCUCCCUGGAAGCCUUUGAGGCCAGGCUGGAUGAGGCUUUGAGCAACCUGGUCUAGUGAAAGGUGUCCCUGCCUACAGCAGGGGCUUGGAGCUAGGUGAUCUUAAAGGUCUCUCCCAGUCCAAACCAUUCUAUGAUUCUUUGAUAGUCACUUCAGCAGUUGAAAAAGAAAUUUUUUGGUUUAAGUCCACCAUCUUUCCACCAGGCCUACUGCUAUCCAUGUCAGUAUUUUUUUCCCCACUUAUGAAUGAAUUUCUCCUUUUACAUGUAAAUAAGAGACUGACCUAUACAGAGUAGGUAAAUCAAGAAGCGUAUUAAGAUGUUCCACCUGUCCCAAAAUACUCCGGCAUGCUACACAUGAGCUGAUACUCACUUUCAACUUUAAAGUUGCUGAGACUGGAUAGUGUCCCCCAGAUAUUUUCUAAUAGGAUCCAACGUUUUGCAACAUGCCCAUCUAGAGACCUGAUCUAUCAGGAAAUGAGAUCUGAACACCUAUGUGGCUUUUGUUCAGCACAAGACGGAGCACAAGAGUCAGGAUAUUCUCACUGCCUAAAGCCAGAAAGGAAGCAAGUCGCCUUGUACAACUCCUGGCUGUAUUUUCCAAUUUUCAUUCUUCCCUUCCAUUCAGCUGCCCCAUCAGGUUUGCAUCAGAGCUGGCACGCAUCUGAACUCCCGCCUGGCCCAGCCUUUGUCAUUAUGCCCUUCAAUGCACAAAGUUUGGUGCGUUUUCCACUCUUCAGUAGGAGGUGCAAGGGCUGGAAAAACUGGCAGUAGAGCACAUAUGCUCCUUUUAUCCCAGCACUUUCCCUUGUGACUGCAUUUACUCUCUCACACGGACUCAGGAUGUUAACUAAACUGACAAGGACUAGAUAGCAGAGAGAGGAAGGAAGGAAGGAAAGCAUCUGCAUUUCCAAUCCAGUGACUGCAAAUAAAGUUCCUCAACUUUUAGAAGUCUCUCAAGCACAGCAUACACAGGGUUUGGAGAAGCCAGGGGCUUCUGAUGAAAGUGCUGUGCUGUUAUUUUCAGUGCCACAGCCAGGCUGGGAUUACGUUUUGGUCUUCUGAGAAAAGGAAGCUGGUUGUCACGUCUACUUCUGCUCUUUUUUAAAACUCUCAAAGAAACUUUGCAACAUAAAAUCACUGAGCACCUACAAAGAAAGCUUUACAAAGGGACACCACUUACUGCCUCAAACUCAGUUUCCAUCACCUCCUGCACAAUUCAUCCAUGCUACACAAAGUCCUAAACAGCACACAUCCUAUCUUUCCCAGUGCAAACAGAUACAUUUUUUUUUUAACUGUAAAGCCAGGCUUUUUGUUUAACACAGUGAAAAAUCACACAUAGCAGGAGCCUGCUGUUAGCAUAACUUACGGUAAUGAAUCAGUUAGCAAGGAGACUGGUGAAAAGAUUGAUUCAUGACAUGAAAAGGGUAACUGGAUCCUUUCUUUUGCCUCCUUAAUUUGCCAACAUACCUGCCCUUACCAGCACCUUUUGAAGCUGUUGCCACAGCACUACUCUUCCUUCUUGGGCUUCAGCAGUGGGUUGAACACAUCAUCUCUUUGCAGACUGCUGAAGAGCUGCAUCACAAGUGAGACUGGAGGUUGGUUGGAAGUCCCUUGAAAUCCAAGCACUUGUGCUCAGGAAGAAUUCACUCCACAUUUCUUCCUUCUUGCUGAAGGCUGGAUGUGCAAAUCCAUCUUAUUUUCACUUGACUCACACUGUGAAGACACAUACUGUGAUGUGGGGUGAUAUUAGCUGUAGAAAAGAAAAAGCUUUAAGACCACUGGGCCUCAAAAUGUGUCAAAACACACCAGGCAUGAGAAUCUGCCAUUUCUCUAUGGGAGGAGGCUGAUCUCCCCACAAAGGGCCAAGCAAGCUGUGCUCCAAGGACCUGCUCUCAUCCACUCAUCCAAACCCACACAGGGGAGCACAGCCAGGAAGAGCCACAGGACCUGCCAUCUCCUGUGCUGCCACCCAGCUCUCUUCCCUCUUGGGGGCUCAGAGCCUGAGCCAAGGUAUUGUUGCCUUUGAGGUUCAUUCUUUUAAAAAACUGACUGACGAUCAAUAUGCCAAAGCUGGGCUGUGCUUUGGGGCUCAGGGAUGGACAGCAAGAGUGCUGGAGCUGGCCUAAGGCAUGCACUGCCUGGGACAGUUGCUCCUUACCUGAGGCUGCACAUUUUGUAACUAAAGUUGGAGGAUGAGUUACCAGGGAGGACUUCAGGGAAGGUGACAGGAAGGAGGACAGCUGGUGUAGCUCCUCUAGAGUAAGCCAUGACUGAAAAGAGAACGGAGGCCCUGACCUGGAUACGGUCCUGGACAACCUGUUCUGGCUGGCCUGAGCAGGGAGUGGACCAAGUGGCCUCCAGAGGUCCCUUUACCUCCAGCAGCCCGUGACUUGGCUUGAUGUGUCUGGAGUGGCACUCCCAUGCCCACAGCCAUGCACUUGUAGCCUUGGGUAAUUUCUUUGCACCAGUGCCUCAGUACUUAAAGCAACACUGAUAACACUUCCAGAACUACACCCUAAAUAGUCUUUGGGACAGAAAUAAAAUUUUGAUUAAGUAGGAAAGCCUUUAUAGGUUAAUUAAAUAACAACUGCUAAACCAUAGCCAACCAGUCAUUAUCUGUGUUUUGAUAUGGACUUAUUACAUAACUGUUAAACUUGGUAUUUAGCAGAUAGCUUCCCUAUUUGAAGGACUAAACAUCUAUUUGAGAUAGUUCAUUUUUAAAUGUCACCAUUUCGGUUUACUAGACUUCUUGCUGUGCUUAACACAAACAGUGGGUAUUUAAAGUAAUAACAAAUCAGCUGUCAGCUGGGAGCACUCAGCAGAAGGUAGGGCCUGUCCUGUGACAGCCCUUGCCCUGCUGCUGGGAGAGUCCCAGGGAGGGUCAUGACGCCUCCAGGCCACCCCUCAACUAGCUCUGGACCUUAGGGGCUGAUGGGGAGAAGUAUCAGCACGCCUUCUGAAAAGUGGCUUCUCAGCUCCAGAAGCACCAGCCUGGUUCUCCCAAAUAGUCUUUUACCGCUUCCUGGCAGCAUUCUAUGAAGGGUGACAUGGAGUAGGAUCCCCUGACCAACCGGUGCCAGGCUGUGGCAGGUGCAGGGCCACUACCUCGCUGCUGCACCCAGAGCUCCUGUGGGCCAUGAACUCCAGCUGCCAUGGGAUGAAAUACUUGCAUGCACCGAACCAAAGACCAUCCCCAACUGCUUUUCAAGCAGGCAUUUUUCUUCAGAGUCUACAUGGAUGGAGAUAGCUUUGCCACCACUCAGUUUCUGCUGUCAUAAUUCUCCUGCUAACAGAUAAGAAAUGGUGAAAUGACAUCCUGCCCAAAGAGUCUGAAUGUCUGUACCCACCUGGGGCACGGUCCUGGUACCAAGGCACUACACCCAUAGAGCCUUAUGGUCACAUUAUUUCUUCCUACAUUCAAUUUUUUUGUAAAAGUGCUGUUAUAUUUUUCAGAAGGCUCUUGCAGCUGUUAUCACAUUGGCAAGCAAUGGCUGGGGCCUUCAGCCAUCUCUGGCAACAAAGAGGUUAAGCAUCAGCAAGCCUAGAAGGCUGGCUUUUGAGGGGUGGGUUUAGGAAGCAAAGUUAACAAUAUAAGAAGAGGAAGUGCUGGCCAUCCGUUUGUUUGUUUAUUGUUUCAGCAGUUUGUGCUGUGUGUCUCGUGUGCUAUCUCCAUCCCUCAGUCUCCCAGCCAGUUCAUUAUGCACGGGAAGAGGUGCUUCCUGCCAGCGACCUCCUGGGUCCCCUCCCAUUGUUCGCAGGGCUGAUGUAAAGUGCUGGGGGCGGCAGAAAGGGCUGCAAGCCUGCAAGAAAUACUCCAGAGACCUUCUUCAGUUAAUAAAACAGAUGGCCUUAUUGGCGUAGGCAAAUUUCAACGCUAGCAUUGCAUUUAAUAGGGUUCAUCCAAAGAAAAUCCCAAGAAAAAUAAAGUGAGGAGUUUAGGUUGUCAGAGCCAGAGGGAUAAAUACAGGAGAGACAAGAGGAUGAACCAUACCUCUGGCAUACCCAGCAGCUCUGCCGUGCCUCUGCAGCCUUCAGGGACUAAGGUUGCUCAACGCCUCCUUCUCUGCUAGGACCUAUUAGUCAGAAGCAGAGGUGCUCCCUGCCUCCAACAGCUAAGCUCUGAUGGCCUAAAUGUCACCCCAGUCUCUGUGCAUAGCAAGGUCUUUAAGUUCCCUAAAUUAGGGCACCUGGGUCCUCCUUGAAGGCCCAGCGCUCUCCCUUCACCUGGUAGAGGAGCAAACAAGCAAGAGACUCUAAGCCCCUAAGACCAUCAAAACUUUGUUUUCUGAAGCCCCAGUGCCCUAUGCACCCCCAAAGUUCCUUCCCUAUGUUUCUGUAGUGAUCAGGCUAUAACACCUUGCAGAAGGAGUGUGCUUCUCAGAUGCUAGGAGAACACUUUUUUUUUUUUUUUUUUUUUUUUGAAAGAACACUUUGUACAAUCCCUGAGCUGGGCCUGAAGCAACACUAACAAUAACAAACAGCAAUGAGCUGGAGCUGCAGAGCUGGGAUCCAGAUGUGUACCUGAACUUCCCUAAAAUUUAAGGGUCUUUAAGUCUGGCAUGGGUUAAUCUCCAUAAAAAACGUGAAGAUGAAGGGGAAGAAAAGGGAAAAAUGCAAGCAGAAUACAGUUAACAAGACACAUGGGAGGAUGUCGCCUUCUCUGUGUGCUUGGUAACUGCAGCCUCUUGAAGGUGUGUCCCCAGAUUCUGCACAGCCAGGAGCUGUCAUUAGCCAGAAAUAAAAGGAUUUCUGCUCACUGACACUGGUGAAAGUAAAGCAAUCUGUUUUGAAAAACAGCUUUAAAGCACACAUUGCCACUUUUGAUUAUAAAAAUCCUAGAGGAAUGUGGGCUUUGCUUUAAAUCAUGUACUUUUUUUUUUUUUCACUUUCUCACUGUAUGUUUACUUUUACGCAGGUACUUUUCUAGUACACGCCUUUAGAAACGUCCAUGAAAACUGUGCCCCAUUUUUCCACUUUCAUUGCUUCUAAAGGUCAAAAGUCUCUCAUCUGAGGCUUUGGAGGAAAAGAAACCUCUCAGUUCCUGGGCUUUCUCUCUGGAGGGAGUCGUCAUUUCCAGGGAAGGGCCGGUGCCUCCCCUCUGGGACAGGAAGCGGCCACAGGAGCACUGUCAUCACUGAAAGUUUUCUUUCAUGCGGAAAUAUUAUUUACACAUGCCACGUCCAAAAGACAACAGUGGCAAGGAGGACUGGCAAGCAACUCUGCUUUAAAUAACCAUUUUCUAAGGCAGGGAGGAGCAUUUUUGUGGCCGUUUCCGUAACAAAGUGUUCCACUCGCUUCUGGCCUAGCUAUGCAGCAUCGUGCUCGUGCAUUCCUAACAGCAGCCUUCCCUUCCCUUCCCUGUCCGCCUUUUGUCAACAAAUAUGUAAGAAAAGAAUUUCACCGUGUCAGGAAUUUUAUGCUUUUGAAACAGAGCUCGCACACUUGACACGACCCAGCCCCCGGACGGAGCUGAGCUGCUGCCCAGAUGGGAGGUCAGUCAUGAUUUUUUACAGAUGUUUGGGAACAAAUCAGUGCUUAAAAGAAAAAAAAAGAAAAAAUAAGAGUCUCCAGACAGUUCAGAGUCAUGAUAAAUAAUUUAGAAAGUGAUUAGAGAAAUCAUGUGAAAGAGCUUUAAGGCUGGAUCUUUCGGCUCCCUGAUGGGGAUACAUUUAAAUUAAACAGCCAGUAAAUAACAAACCAAAGACCAUCAUGCCACUGGAUAGUGAAAGCUGUUAAAGAGCUGGAUUGAAACGAUGAGUGGAUAUCGAGUGCUUUCAGUCAUUUCCCUCAUCCAUCUUUGGGUGAUGAGGGGAAAAAAAAAAAAAAAAAAAAAGGAAAAGCAGUAAAGAAUGAGUAGAGCUCUGACAUUGUUCAUCUCCUCUUUCCUGGUGCAGAAGUCGCCAGAGAUGAAGGAACAGAAGGAAAGCAGAAAUUAUUCAUUUCCUCCCCUCCCUCCCCCUGGAGAAAGAAGGAAUAGGACAGUCACAUAGGCAGGAUGCAAGUCUCCGUCACAGGGAAUGCAGAAUGGUCCUGGCCUGUCAGAGUAAAAACCUGCAAGAGCAGAGGGAUGCCCUCCAUAAAUUAUGUAUUUUGCCUGGUCUUUGUUAGCUUGCAUUAUUUAAUAUUUUAAACAAUUACAAAAAGCCCUGGCAACAACUCUUUCAAAUAUACUGUGGCAACUGAACUACUUAAAGAUCUGUUUCUCCUCCAAAGUUUCUUUGGGGCACAAAUUAAUUUCUGACCCAAUUUUCAAAUACUUCUAAGUGAAGACUGGAGGGAGAAGAGGCUACCCAUCUGCCAAAGGACUAAGGGAAGGGGUGAGUUAACCUAGACAGAACUAAAAGUUCAAGGUAACCUGUACCUUAUGGAUGGGAAGGUUAAACAACAAACACUCUGGACUUAAUAUUACUUGGCAAAAUUCCUAAGAUUGUAUAUAAUUGCCCAUACACCUUUUGUGACACCCAGGCAGACUACUGGCAGAGCAGUAGAUUCCUCACCUUCCUUCAGGAGGACAGAGGACAGUCUGCUUCAUGAAGGACACAUUUCUCCUCUGCACUGUGAAACAAGCCCACUGCUCACAUCAGCAGGGACGGUGCAUCAUUAAGGACGCUAGAUUAGGCUCAAUGCAUAAGAAGUUUCUUGCUGCCUCUGCAGAGGCAAAUGCACACCAGUAGUAAGAGUAGGUGAUGCUCAAUAACCAGGAAAAACUCUCUCUGUCCAUCUGUAUUAAAGCUACUGAGUGAUGCCUGACUACAAAGGACACCAGCUGCAUCCUGGUGACUAAAGCUAAAUUUGGCAAUGGGGCACCAGAGCAGUGUUUAUGGAAUCUGAGGCAGGAUAUAGACUGUAAACAUUGUUUCCCUGAGAUCUUGCUAUGCAUUGCUCAAAAUUAUUUUCAAAGACAACUCAUUAACCCUCCGCCCACUCUUCUCUGAGGUUGGAUAUGAUGUUUAACAGAAAAAUAACAGUCUUCUCUGACUGGAGGCCAGGGCCUAGGCUCCUUCUUUCCCUUUCUUCAAGAUAUUUCCUUAACAGUACAAAUAUUCUGGGGAAUGUCCUGAGCCAAACUAUGCUUUUGUAAUAUCAAUUAUCUGCAUACAUAUGCUGCAUAGGACAGAGCCUUGUUAAUUAAGAAAUUUUCUCGGACUGCCUAUUUCACCAGGUAAGCAACUAGCAGAUAAAGAAAAGCACUGUUCAUCCAACCCCUGCUAACUCACAUGCUCCUUAACUUUGACUGCUUGUGGUUGCUUUAGGGGCUAGGAGGAGAACACAUACCACAUCUCUGCCAAUGUCAAGUCUAAGUUACUUGCAGGCAGAAGGAUGAGCUUUCUCCCCUUUGGUAACAAGUGGUAACACCAGCAACAGCAGAAGCAGUAAAGCCUUGUUCCCAUGAUCGAAGUACUCAGCUGAGCUCUGUGUGGGAUUUCUAGCAAAGAAUGAACUUGCAGCCCAGCUUCCUCCUCACUGGAAGCAGGAGGAACAGCUCUCACAGGAGAUUUCCUCAGAGCUCAUGGAUUUGCUGUCCUCAUGGGGACAGCUUGGAACGGCCUGGCACAGCUACCCACACAUAGCAAUUGCCUGAACCUUGUGUCCUCACUCAGUCAACCUUCUUCUUGCUGAGGCCAAUUUGAAGACUAAAGGGUUUAAACCACAGACACUGGCAGGAACUACAGAAGUCAGAAAACCUUAGCACUUUUUCAUGUUUCAUUAGCACCUGUCCUCCCAGUGGCUCUUCACUUCAGGAAAUUAUGCUUAUUUUGUGGACAAGGAAACCAAGGCACAGCUUUUCAAAGAGACUUGUCAAAGAUCAGACACAGCCCCAGAUGUACCUGUUGCAGGUGUGCUCCUGCCCCAGGUGUAGUUGACCAACCAGGCUAAGGUCUCCGUCACAGCCACUGGGCUGUGGCAUGGGGAGGUUGCAUCGGGGACCCAGUGCAUAGGGCCAGUGAUGGGAGGCCUCCUGCCCAGGCAGCUUCCCUCCUCUGCCCAGAUGAGCUGCAUGGUGUGUGCAAAUGCCGAAACAAUUGCUUCUGCAGUGCCAGAGUUAGUUACGUCUGAAAAGGUACCACCGCACAGUGCGACAUGUCAUUAGGCUGCCGGCUGGGCACUGGAAGAUGGAUGUGUUGUUCACUUUGGUGCAGGCAGUUAACAGCACAGCUAUUUGGUUACAUGAAUUUACAAGCUUAGCUGCCAAGUAAGGGAGACCACAGGUUAACAGCGAGGGGUGAAGGUGCUUGUAAAGGUGCAGGCUGAGCCCUGAACCAAGGCGAUUACAGCUCACUGGGAGUUUCUGAAGCCCAUUAGUGCCAGAGCAAGGAGCUGUCAAGAUCCACAGAUGAGCAGUUAAGUUUGCAAGCUCAGAGGUAACCGUGCGCAGGGAAGGGAAUUUGCUUUACUCUCACAUAUUCUCUCCCUUUUCUCUUUCCCUCACUGAACAGCCCUGUGCACACUAGCCCCAAGCCGCCCCACUGGGGACAAACCUGCCAGCCUGUCCUCCCCUGAAACACUGGGCUCCUCCCCACCCCUGCAGCUCUCAGCCUCACAGGCAUCAUUCCUGUGGGUGCCAGAACUGCCAAGGAGCCCUUCCACCAGAAAGUACUGCUGUACUCCAACUAGACUGAAUAGGUUCUACAGCAGGCAUGCAAAACCACUGCACACUCUGGAAAGUAACAGCUAAUAGUUUUCCCUAAUGGGCGUCUUAUUUCCUUACACUAUCUUCUCCCUUGAAAUAAAUAAUGGUACUUCAAGGUGUCAGACAAACAGUCGCACUUUAAUUUCUCCCUUUGGCAAGCCCAGCCACUAAUUCAGUCUUGUUAUGGUUUUCCCACUAGGGACAAAAUAUAUACUGAGCUUUGAAAACACAUUGUGUAGCAGCAAUUGUUGCUCUAAGCCAAUGGCUGUUUUGCUUUGUUCAGCACUGUAUGCUUGUGUCUACUGUGAGAUAUUGUUUUGUUAAGACCUGUUAUUGAUUAACAGGGAGAGGAAUUGAAUUCCAGAUGGGAGAUGCUGAAACACUCUAAAAUGCUGCAUAAAAAAUGCAAACAUUUAAAAUCAUCUUAAAGGAAGGUAUCUCUCCUAAACCAGAUCCAUUUCUCUUUUCAGCUGUACCAUCUGCAGCAUAUCACCUAAGGGCAUUCUUACAGUUCAACUUGAGGAUAAAGGUCUUGUCCUCAUGCAGAUUCAGAGCUGAUGAAUUUGUCGUCGUGCAAUUUUGGGGGCCAGUUCACCCCUGACACUUAAGUGCUGCAGCCAAGGGUAACAUUAAGUUCCUGGGAACUCUACAUAGAGCAGCUUUGGACAUUUGUCCUGUAUCCUUCAGUUGCCUCAGAAGUACCACAGUCCUCAGUGUGAAUAUAGUAAUGGCAGAGAAAGACUGAAGAAGACAUUGAAGUGACUGAUACUAGCCACACACAGAAGAGUUAACCUUUGCAAGUGCUCUCCUCUCCAGUCUUAAGUGCUGUAACUUCCGUGCUGCAAGCAUGGCAGGAGGAAGUUUUCUUUGCUUAAUAAAUGUGUCUAUUAAUUUACUUUCAUAUUACAUUUCCCGAGGGAAAGAAAGCACUAAACUUCCCAUUCUCUUAUUUUAAAUGCAGUGUAAGAUACAUUUUAGACCUAGGAUUCAUGCAGCUCCUUAGUUUUUAGAAAUCCUUCUUAUACCCACGUCUUCAGAAUUACAUGACACACACUGUUUAUGAGCAAUGUCAUAAGUACAGAUCACUAAACACCUGAAAAAUGAAGAAAUAAUAGACUCAGAGAAGCCCACAUCUUAAGGUAGCAUGUGAAAUUCUGGUCAUGCCAGGAAGCAUGCAGUAAAAUGAGGAGGGGGACAGAUACAGAGGUGCCUAGGGUGGUCAGAAGAAUGGGUCAGCUUCCGAAAAGGUCUAACUAAAUAAACCCUGGAAAAAGAGACAGCAAAGCAAGACGAGGCAAAGAUCUCUACGAAGCAGGAAAAGUGAACAAUUAUUUGCUGCUUUUCUUAACAUCAGAGCAAGAAGGUGCUUGCUAAAAGAAAUCAUCAGGAGAAAGUUCAAAAACAAGAAGUACUACUUUACAGAGAUAUGUGACAGAGGCCCCAUGCAACGUACUACCACAGGACCUUUUAAAGUUCAAGACGGACCAAAGGUUCAAGAAGCGAUCAAACAAAAUAAUAGAAGAAAUGUGCCUUAAGAGCCGUUAGUUGUAGAAGGGCACGAAUAUAUCCCACCACAGAGAACACCCUGAAAGUGCAGAUUGGAAUAAUCAGAGAAGGCUAUAAUUUGGCUGGUGCUGUUGUAUGUUUGUCCCAUUUCUUGUUUUCAUUCACUAAGUCCUUGCUGUCAGCCAGUUAGACAUGGGAAAGAGAAGGCACACAAGAGCUAAAAGGCCUUGCUCCUGUGUUCUCCCUUCAGGAUUAGACCACUUGAGCUGGCACGCUCUGUCACUUAGCCAGGCUUCAGAGGUGACAGUGUCAAGCCAGCUGAGAAGCACCACAACAUCAUGAUAUGGUUCUGAGAAAAAUGAUCCCUCUUUCUCGUGCUAUAGCUUGUCAUAUAAUAGCAAUAAUCACAAUUGCUUUGUAAUAUACUCAGAGCUGCUUUGGAGAUUGAUUAAAUGCUUCAGCUUCCCUUUAGCUUUAAUCAAACCCAGCAGCUGUUUAUCACUCAGAAUACUUAGAUCAAUAGAGCUUACACCUUACAUACACCUUUAAAAUAGCGUGCCCUGUACCAGCUCCCUUGAAGCUGCAAGUAGCAAUUAUAAUAAGUGAUCAUACACUGUAGAGCUAAAAGUAGAGGUUAAAAACUGAUAAAAUCACCACAACCAGUAGGAUGACACUUUCAAAAAACAGCCUUCCUACUUGCAAAUUUUUCCUAAGAUCUUAAUUAAAAAAAAAAAAAAAAGUCAGGAAGGGCUACGGCCAAAUGUGCUCAGCCCUAGCAUCAGAUUGAACACACAGACUACUAGAUAGAGCAAGGCAGCUGCUCCAUAAGCUGUGGACCUCUUCCCCGAGAGCCCAGUAGCAGAGGAAAGUCCAUGGACAGGGCUGCAUGAAAUCCCAAACACUAAUUAGAAUACCUCAUCUUUAGUUGGAAUGGUGUAAGGAUAGGAGGCAGUUGAUAUAGUUAACCAGUUUCAGAUCACCAAAGAAAGGUAGAGGUCACAAUUCAAUAAUAAAGAAGGACUAGCUUACCCCUUUCCAAGGAUCAGUGCUCACUAGAAACUCCCAGGUAAGACGAUCUCCAAGGAAAAAUGCCUCCCCUUUUGACUGCCAGCCCUUAAAUGAGGUUCGGGUGAAUUGCUUGCACCUGUGCUACCAGAGCUGGCUAUACCCCUUCAACAGGUGCUCAAUCACUGGUUCAGGCUGUGACCUAGCAGUUCCUAUACAAAUGGAUAAUGACUACAGAUAUCUAUUUUACUCAUUCUGUGAGAUACACUUCUGUCUUGUAACUGAGUUGAGCCAGCAGUUUCAGAGAUCUAACAACAAUAAAGCUAAGAGCAUAUUUUAAUUACAUAAAAAUUAGCAAAUCCUACUGAAGAUAGCAUGAAAGCUUUUACUGACACAUGUGAAUCCAGGAUGUCCUUCUCCAUGUUAAUCAUGGUAAAUUAAGUGAAUGGAAGUUGAACUCCAGGCAUAAAAUCAUCAAAUCCAGACGAAACAUAUUGGAACAGUCCAUUUCAUCAUGCUGCCAGACAAGACAAGACAAACUCUUGGCUGGUGCCUUGAAAAGACAAAUAUUUGGAUAGGAAAAGAAAGAGAGAAUAAAAUCAUUGCUUCUAAAAUGAUAUGUUAUGGAAAAUUAUUGCAUCACUUUUACUAGCAGUUCACAGCUACUCAUUAAUUUUGCAAAAUUGCAGCAGCUCUGACUCUCUGAGGUCUUCUAGAGCAGCAGCUUCUUACUUGUUCAUAAGGGGACAAAAAAGCUGUGCUCAAGAGCAGCCCCGCAUGAGAAAUGGUGUUUACGUGGAAGGUGACAAGAUUUGGUUCAUUUUAUACACAGUUGGGACAUGAGUUUGAAAGAUGGGACAUUAAGGCUGUGUUUUUCCAGUCACACGCACACAAAAAUGCAGGCCCUUUUCCCAGAAAGAAAGGUUGUGUAAAGUGGUAUUAAUGUCACUUUAAGUCAAGAAAGAUAUAGCAGACAGCAGCCACUGGGAUUUAGGAGCACUUUAGGUGGGCCAGCCUUCAAACCCUCACCUGUUCCUGGCACCGAAAAGGGAGAAUGAGAAAAUUGGCACAUCACUUACAGAAGCUCUGCAAAAAUGCAACAUACUACAUUUCCUUUCUUAGACACUGAGGUGUGAUAAGGAAAAGAUCAUUAAAAUCCAGUUAAGAGGGGAGGUAGGGAAAACACUAUUGGUGCUCAUAAGGCCUCAGCCUUCCAGUAGACUGGGGGAAGGAGAAAGGAAAUAACAUGAGAUCAAGGCAAACAGCUGCUGUCAUCCUUCUGUGUCCUUCACAAAAGGAGGAAUGCUGGAUAAUCCAGUGCUUUUUGGCUUUAUUUUGUUUUGCUGCAUUUUUCAUACCUGCCUAGGACUCUAGCUCUUAAAAAAAGAGGGAAGUGGGGGAAGACAGGCUCUUCAAGUUAUUUUUAUGAGCCCAGCUAGCAUUUCACACAUUUCAAUUUCUGCCAGUGUGUGUUCCAUUUCACACUGCUAUCUGCUUGAAAGCGUCUUGCGAGGGGAGGGAGGGAGAUACCAGCCAAAAUAGUUUUGAAUGCUCUUUGUUUAUUAUAUGCAGAUCAAGCAAUUCUUAUUAACUCAGUUUCAGUUCUUCCUUCAUAGGUAGCAGUGCUGUGAUAUUAUUUGCAGGCAGCCAAGGUAAUUACCAUCCAGCAGGGUCCAAUUGUUUUCAAUUAAAAGCUUGACUGAAGUCUUUAGUUUUUAAUACCAUUGUGACCAUCUGCUUUCACUGAAGUUCAUCAGCAAAGGCACAGGCCUCAUUCUAAUGCUGCUUAAUUAUAUAGAGGAACUUUUUUUUUUUUUUUUUGGUCAGAGAUUCAUUUUUCCCUGCUAAAGAAAUGGGCAGCAAAGGGGCUACGUGUCUUUGCUAAUAGCCUGCAGCAAGAUGGAGCAGCCGGGAAGAUCAUUACCUUCCUGGGAGAUCCAGCUGUUACUGCACUGACAAGAAGAUCCAGGGGACCAAGACCAGAAAGCAGUUAACCUUUGCUGCCUUGCUCUUCAUUCAGUCACUUGCCUCCCUCUAUCUUCCAGCAAAUCUGAAAGGGCCAGAAGGAAGAGGUGAUCAUCUUAAAACAUGCAGUGCAACCCCUGAUGAUCACGCUUUCAGACUGUGUUGCUGGCUGGGGUUGCACACAGGCUCUCCCACAUGGGCAUGCACGCACUCCCUCCUUCUUGCACAUGUGGCAAAUGCUUUGCAGUCCUGUAUCAUCUCAGAUGUGAGGAUCUCCAAAUCCCUUACAGGCAUUCAUUAAGCCCUACACGAUCCCCAGGAGAAGUAAAUAUAAUUUUCCAGAUGGGGAAAUCAAGACAGUAAGAGGUUAAGUGACUAGCCUGAGGCCAAACAAUAAAUAAGUGGCAGAAUCAGCGUGAGGAUCUGCCAAGUCCCAAGUUUAACACAAGUCUCCUGAGCGUUCAUCACCAGAAAAGGAAAAAUGACACCCUCACAUCCUCAAAACACUUAAAUGAAGCCCUGUUUUAUAUGUGCCAGAGCUAAUGCGCACAGCUCUUAACAUUGCCAACUGUGAAGAGAACAGCAUUUUGCAGAUUCAAUGCAGAAACCGCUGUCUCCAGGCAGGAAGCACACUGAUCUUGCUCCAUGCUAUCCACCCAGGCAGGCACACAGCUUCCUUACAGGUGCCUGCUGCCAUUUAUGUUGCACACAGCUAUACCAAGGAUCAGCCCCCUGAGAUACAAGUACUUUGCCAAGUGCCAGUUAAAAGAGGAAGUAUUUGCAGUACUACACUGUAAGACAACAGGAAGAGCUAAACUGGUGAACAGCACUGCUUUAGUGGCAGUCUCUGAAUCACUCGGCAAUGGAGCCAGAAUCCUUUCCAUCUUCUUGGCCAGCCACACAGGCAUACCCUUCUCUCUAGUAAAUCCCACAGCCAUUCAUCUGAAACUUAAAUCUCUGCUCCUCACUAAACCCUCGGAGAGAUGGAAGUUGGCUUUUGCCCUCACUGCUGGAGGAGUCUCUCUCCUUGGGGCUCAUCUUCACACUCAGUACAGAUAACGCUUCUUCCUAUAGAUCAUCUGGCCUUCUCUGAGCUAGCAUAUCAGUCAGGACUGGAUCCACGUUAAGGUUGUUAUACAGCCAAGUCCCAGUUUGCUAUGCAGUACUGAGAUCUCUACAGCUCCUAUACAGCAAAGGCAUUAAAAUGAGAAUCUGAGGCUUGGGAGAUAAUUACUCCAGAAAAUGGUCUAAAUGACUUCAGUAUUUUGAAAGGCUUGAGGUGUUGCUGUUAACUACACUCAGCUAUUGCAAAUGUAAAGCAAUUUGUUUCCAUACAGAUUUCCUUUAAAGCUACAUGUAUGUGUCCUAAAUACAUAAUUACACACCAGAGUAUAAUGGCUCAUUCAGGUUUAUUUCAUAACCAAUAGGCAUUUUAAAAGCAAUUUCUGGAGGAAUAUGCAGCGAACAUACAGCAUAGGUUCCAGAAGGUGGUUUUCUUGCAUUUUUCCUCAUAAGAAGCUCUCAAAGUUCUAUUUCCGCCCAAGAAAAAAGUGAGAAUAAAUAAACCCUUUCUUUAAGAAUUACCUUGAGGGAAACAUAAUGACCCUAUUAAGAAAAUAGUCCAGUAAACACAUUUUUGGCAUGAACAUCCUGUGAAUUGGAUGGCCUAGGAAAUUGCUAGUAAGAUUUUGCAGUCUUUCUGAUUGAAACUAAUCUGUGUUCAUAGCAAGUCAGCACAGCUAUUCCAAAGAGUUAUUUUGUCACCUAUACAAAAAUCACUUGGCAGCGUCCAUUUGGGCAGCUCUUAUGGAGUUAUGUGUGCACUGCAAGAAUUACAGAGGAAUUUCUGUUCUUUUCCAAAAUAAUCCUUAUAAUCUCUCAAGAAGCUGGUAUCUGGUGAAAAGUACUGCAGUGACAGGAGCAAUAAUACAACAGUGCACACAGAUGAAAGAUUUGAACAGCACUAGUACUGUAGAGAGUAACCUAAGUUGACCAUAGAAUCAUAGAAUAUCCUGAGAUAGUAGGGAGUCACAAGGAUCAUAAAAUCCAACUCUUGGCUCCACACUACAUAUCCUCCCCCUCCCCAGAAAUAAAUAAAUACAUAAAUAAAACAAAACGAAAUGUAUUACAUCGUUGUGCAAACACCUCUUUGAGGUUCAAGACAACCACUUCAUUUAAGUUAUUAGUGAGGUGCUGCUUUAUUCUUCUGUUAUUCCAUGAGUUGCUGUAACACAAGCAGCUGCCUUUCAACAGGCAAAAGUGACCAGCAGUGCCUUUCCUCACCUCUCCUCAGGAGCUCCUGCCCCUGCAAAGAGCACUGAGUUCAUCCUGCUUAAUUGGAAGCAUUUAAAAUUGAGAUGCUGAAAUCAGGUACCACCAACAUCAAUAAACAGGCACUUCCAAAGGGCACCAAAGAUCUGAAUCUCCCAUCAGAUGUUCUUCUCUUUCUCUAUAAACUACAGAGACAAUUUAGCACAAACAAGCUCUUAACUCUGGCACCUCAGUUAAUCACUUAAAGAAAAAUAAAAAGUAAUUAGUUCUGCAUCUUUGAAACUGCCUGUUUAGCUAUAUUUAAGCAGAAGAGCUACAGGAUUUUAAAACAUCCCUAUUUUAAAGAUGAGAGGUAGAUAAAUGACUCAUCUUUUUCCGUAUGGUCAUUGUGCUUGUGAAUAGGUGAAGCAAAGCAUGGUAUCUCGGGGAAUUUGGUCUGAGAUUUUAGAGGCAACAGUAUCUCUAUGGCCUUGAUCAUAAGCCUGCACCCCAAGAAGCAAAGCCAAUGGUGUAGUCUGUAGGAAUCCAGUUAGGCAAGGGGGUAGGAAGCUGUAAAUCAAGAUAAGUAUCAUGGUUCUAUGGCACCCUUCAUGAAAAGAAAUAAAUUAAUGUACACUGCCACACAGGGAGGUUUUGCCUGUGUUGAUAAGAGGGACUGAAACAAGCAUGCUGAAGGCAAUCCAGGUUUAGCAAAAGAAGGAGGAAUUCUGAACUGCAUUAUGGACAAAUAUGAGACUAUGCUCAAUACCAAAUUUCAUACACCAAGCAUACAGCUCAUCCCAGUUACUCUCUAUUUAUGAGACUGUAGCCCAACACACCUGUACUGUGUAGAAAUGUGGUUUGAUGGCUCCACUGCGACCUCAUGGGCCCUCAUGGACAAGGCCUUCAUUUAGAUAUCCAUGAAGUACAACAAUACAUUUCUCACUUUGUUCCUAGAUUUACAAAUAAGUCUGAGGGCAGCUGACAAGGAUAGAGACAAUGGAUGAAAAGUAAAAAUCUCUUCCUGUUUCCUUUACUAUAUUUCAAUCUAACUUAAUUAAAGUCAAGAAUCCAAAUGUCAUUUUUCUGUAUAUUUACUCUUUGGAUAAGUUCAAUAAAAAUACAAGAAAAAAAAUCUAAGUUAUUUAAAAUAUUACACAUGUCCAGAAGGUCUGCAGCACCUCCUUGCUG